rnacentral:rRNA from 1 species
AACCUGGUUGAUCCUGCCAGUAGUCAUAUGCUUGUCUCAAAGACUAAGCCAUGCAUGUCUAAGUAUAAAUGGUAUACAGUGAAACUGCGAAUGGCUCAUUAAAACAGUUAUAGUUUAUUUGGUAAUCGAAUUUACAUGGAUAACCGUGGUAAUUCUAGAGCUAAUACAUGCUGUAAGCCCGACUUUUCGGAAGGGCCGUAUUUAUUAGAUAACAGACCAAUGCCCCCCCGGGCUUUGUGGUGACUCAUAGUAACUAAUCGGAUCGCAUGGGCCUGUCCCGCGACAAACCAUUCAAGUUUCUGCCCCAUCAGCUUUCGAUGGUAGUGUAUUGGACUACCAUGGCUUUUACGGGUAACGGAGGAUUAGGGUUCGAUUCCGGAGAGGGAGCCUGAGAAACGGCUACCACAUCUAAGGAAGGCAGCAGGCGCGUAAAUUACCCAAUCCUAAUUCAGGGAGGUAGUGACAAGAAAUAAUGGGUCGGAACUAACGUUCCGGGACCGCAAUGAGAUGAAUUUACACCCCUUUUCGAGGAUCAAUUGGAGGGCAAGUCUGGUGCCAGCAGCCGCGGUAAUUCCAGCUCCAAUAGCGUAUAUUAAAGUUGUUGCAGUUAAAAAGCUCGUAGUUGGAUUUCUGGCAGGGAGUAGAUGCCCGUGUGAUACGUGCGCAGAUACCCCCUGCCAUCCUUCUGUUAACCCUCCAGAUCUUAACUGCUCUGUUGGGAGCCCAGAUAUUUUACCUUGAGAAAAUUAGAGUGUUUCAGGCAGGCUAGCGCCGGAAUACAUUAGCAUGGAAUAAUAGAA